CACCAGACUCCUACGGGAGGCAGCAGUGAGGAAUAUUGGUCAAUGGGCUUACGCCUGAACCAGCCAAGUCGCGUGAGGGAGUACUGCCCUAUGGGUUGUAAACCUCUUUUGUCGGGGAGCAAAAGCCGGACGUGUCCGGCUGUGAGAGUACCCGAAGAAAAAGCAUCGGCUAACUCCGUGCCAGCAGCCGCGGUAAUACGGAGGAUGCGAGCGUUAUCCGGAUUUAUUGGGUUUAAAGGGUGCGCAGGCGGUCUGUUAAGUCAGCGGUCAAAGCCCGGGGCUCAACCCCGGUCCGCCGUUGAAACUGGCAGUCUCGAGUUGGAGAGAAGUAUGCGGAAUGCGCGGUGUAGCGGUGAAAUGCAUAGAUAUCGCGCAGAACUCCGAUUGCGAAGGCAGCAUGCCGGCUCCACACUGACGCUGAGGCACGAAAGCGUGGGUAUCGAACAGGAUUAGAUACCCUAGUACAG
rnacentral:rRNA from 1 species